rnacentral:rRNA from 1 species
GUCUAUAUGGAGUUAAAUAUAGUAUAGCCUGCCCCCUGAUUUGUUUAAAGGCCGCAGUACACUAACUGUGCAAAGGUAGCAUAAUAAUUUGUUUUUUAAUUGAAAGCUUGAAUGAACGGCUGGACGAAGAAAAAUCUGUUUCUAAAAUUAUUUUGGAAAUUUACCUUUAAGUUAAAAGGCUUAAAUUUUUUUAAAAGACGAUAAGACCCUAUAAAACUUUAUAUAUAAUUUUUUUUUUAUUCUUUAUUUUGUUUAUGGUAAAAAAUAAAAAAUUUUAUUGUGUUGGGGCGACAAGAAUAAAAUAAAAUUAAACUGUUCUUAUUUUAGACAAAAAUAUUUGAAGAAGUUUUAAAAGAUCCUUAUUUAAAAGAUUAAAAGUAUAAGUUACUUUAGGGAUAACAGCGUAAUUUUUUUAAAGAGUCCUUAUCGAAAAAAAAGUUUGCGACCUCGAUGUUGAAUUAAAAUUUCUUUUUGGUGCAGAAGCUAAAAAAGUAAGUCUGUUCGACUUUUAAAAUUUU